GCUCGUUCCUGCUCCUCCCGCGUGGCAUGUUUCGUCCAUUAGAACCAACUCAUCGCUCGUUUAACCGCGUUGGCAUCGAUCUAUUCGUCCCUCGGCCAUGAUCUACUUCGGGAAACCGCUGGUCGCAGGGUUGUUCAUCUUCAAUACCCAGGGCCACCAGGGGUACCUGUGCUAGGAAGCGACAAUUUAUUCCUUCGUCAGAGGGCAUCAUGAUAUUCUCGGAGCCUGGCCGUUGUCCAUACACCAACAUCGGAGUGUCGACCUAAAUCUACGGAGCUGUUCAAUAUCGCAAGCAUGGAAAUAUAUGAGCCUUCUAUGCCUUUGCCUAUCA